CCUACGGGAGGCUGCAGUGGGGAAUUUUGCGCAAUGCUCGUAAGAGUGACGCAGCGACGCCGCGUGAAUGACGAAGGCCUUCGGGUCGUAAAGUUCUUUCGACAGGGAAGAAAAUGCCUAUAAGUAACUGUGUAUGUAUUGACGGUACCUGUAUAAGCAGCCCCGGCUAACUCCGUGCCAGCAGCCGCGGUAAUACGGCGGGGGCGAGCGUUGUUCGGAGGGACUGGGCGUAAAGAGCACGUAGGCGGUGUUGUAAGUCAUUAGUCAAAGACUAGAGCUCAACUUUAGUAAGGCUAGUGAUACUAUAAUACUAGAGUAUCAGAGAGGAUUGCAGAAUUCCUGGUGUAGCGGUGAAAUGCGUAGAUAUCAGGAGGAAUACCGUUAGCGAAGGCGGCAAUCUGGCUGGAAACUGACGCUGAGGUGCGAAAGCGUGGGUAGCAAACAGGAUUAGAUACCCCUGUAGUC
rnacentral:rRNA from 1 species